AGCAGCCGCGGUAAUUCCAGCUCCAAUAGCGUAUAUUAAAGUUGUUGCAGUUAAAAAGCUCGUAGUUGAAUUUCGAAAUUUUUUUAUCGGUUGAAUCAACAGGUUCGUACUGAUUUUAAGAAUUUCUACCUUCUGGAGAACCUUAAUGUCAUUUAUUUGAUGUUUUGGGAAACCAGGACUGUUACCUUGAAAAAAUUAGAGUGUUUAAAGCAGGCUUAUGUCUGAAUAUAUUAGCAUGGAAUAAUGAAAUAGGACGGCAUGGUUCUAUUUUGUUGGUUUCUAGGAUCACCGUAAUGAUUAAUAGGGAUAGUUGGGGGCAUUAGUAUUCAAUUGUCAGAGGUGAAAUUCUUGGAUUUAUUGAAGACUAACUUCUGCGAAAGCAUUUGCCAAGGAUGUUUUCAUUAAUCAAGAACGAAAGUUAGGGGAUCGAAGACGAUCAGAUACCGUCGUAGUCUUAACCAUAAACUAUGCCGACUAGGAAUCGGACGAAGUUAAUUUUUUAAUGACUCGUUCGGCGCCUUACG
rnacentral:rRNA from 1 species